GACGAACGCUGGCUGCGUGCUUAACACAUGCAAGUCGAACGGCAAGGCCCUGCUUUUGUGGGGUGCUCGAGUGGCGAACGGGUGAGUAACACGUGAGUAACCUGCCCUUGACUUUGGGAUAACUUCAGGAAACUGGGGCUAAUACCGGAUAGGAGCUCCUGCUGCAUGGUGGGGGUUGGAAAGUUUCGGCGGUUGGGGAUGGACUCGCGGCUUAUCAGCUUGUUGGUGGGGUAGUGGCUUACCAAGGCUUUGACGGGUAGCCGGCCUGAGAGGGUGACCGGCCACAUUGGGACUGAGAUACGGCCCAGACUCCUACGGGAGGCAGCAGUGGGGAAUAUUGCACAAUGGGCGGAAGCCUGAUGCAGCAACGCCGCGUGCGGGAUGACGGCCUUCGGGUUGGAAACCGCUUUCGCCUGUGACGAAGCGUGAGUGACGGUAAUGGGUAAAGAAGCACCGGCUAACUACGUG
rnacentral:rRNA from 1 species